rnacentral:rRNA from 1 species
GAGACUAUAAGUCUCCUGAAGGAACGUUGAAGACGACGACGUUGAUAGGCCGGGUGUGUAAGCGCAGCGAUGCGUUGAGCUAACCGGUACUAAUGAACCGUGAGGCUUAACCUU